rnacentral:tRNA from 1 species
CCGGGAUAGCUCAGUU